AUGUCAGAGUACCUGGAAACCGAAGAACUUUCUAUAAGAAGUGUGGUACACAUCAGCCUCACAGAGCCACCCGGUAUAAGAAGGGCAAGGAUUCCCUGAGUGCCCAGAGAAGGAGUGCUGUGAUGGGAAACAGAGUGGCAAUGGUGGGCAAACAAAGCCAGUUUUCCAGAGGAAGGCUAACAUCACCAAGAGCUUUGUGCCAAGGCUGGAACAUGUCGCACCCAACUGCAGAUCAAGAGGAUGCUGGCUAUUCAGAGAUACGAGCACUUUGAGCUGGGAGGAGAUAAGAGGAGAAAGAGCCAAGUGAUCCAGUUCUAA
rnacentral:lncRNA from 1 species